GACGAACGCUGGCGGCGUGCCUAAUACAUGCAAGUUGAGCGCUGAAGGUUGGUACUUGUACCAACUGGAUGAGCAGCGAACGGGUGAGUAACGCGUGGGGAAUCUGCCUUUGAGCGGGGGACAACAUUUGGAAACGAAUGCUAAUACCGCAUAAAAACUUUAAACACAAGUUUUAAGUUUGAAAGAUGCAAUUGCAUCACUCAAAGAUGAUCCCGCGUUGUAUUAGCUAGUUGGUGAGGUAAAGGCUCACCAAGGCGAUGAUACAUAGCCGACCUGAGAGGGUGAUCGGCCACAUUGGGACUGCGACACGGCCCAACCUCCUACGGGAGGCAGCAGUAGGGAAUCUUCGGCAAUGGACGAAAGUCUGAACGAGCAACGCCGCGUGAGUGAAGAAGGUUUUCGGAUCGUAAAACUCUGUUGGUAGAGAAGAACGUUGGUGAGAGUGGAAAGCUCAUCAAGUGACGGUAACUACCCAGAAAGGGACGGCUAACUACGUG
rnacentral:rRNA from 1 species